AUUCGGACUGAGACUUUUGUUUACACGGUGAGAAAUUCAUCACAUGAGCGCAACAAAACGCACCACGGGCGCCUUGUUUGUUUGUUAUGGGUUUCCUAAUAUCCCACAGCAACAACCUGACACGCCCCACCUUUUUCCAAAGGAAUGGCAGUUAACCACGUGGUGUCGACUCCAAAGGGAUGAUGUCAUCGUGAAAAUACUGCAAGAAGCCUGCAGUAAUGUAUGGCCACUUCAAUGUCAGCCCGACGCGCAACACUGGACUGAGAUGGAAUAUUUUUUCCAAUAUUAUGAUUAUCAACGGGAUGCGUAUAUUGAUGCAACACACAAAAGCACAAGUGGCACGAGUCGAGCAGCCAUCUGCACACACAAUAUGAACACUUUUUGCAUGUUUUUGUGAUGCAUUUGCGUAUUGCGCAAAUCUAACCAUCAUCAUACAUACAUUAACCCCCUACUUGGGUUAGUCAAGGGACUUAUGUUACUCUUGACGUGAGGACAGCAAUUUCUCUCAAUAAUGAUCACAUUUGAUUUAACAUGGUAGUAAACAUAAAACCUAAAACUCAAACCAGUGAGCAAACCAUGCAUUUAGCUCAGAAAUUUAGGUGCAAAAAUAAGUACAAUCUCCACAAAUUUGAUGAAGAAAUAUUAGAAAAAACAAACAAGCCAUCUGACAUACACACGUCUCUUUAUUAACCCCCAAAGAUAAGACCACGCCGUGCUCCUUCAGCCAUGCCUUUUUGUUUUCUUUCAAGUACACAAAACCAGCUAAAAGUCUAAAGAGUCCCUCGGCAUUGUGCUUCAGGGAGGUCUGACGGUGUCCCAUUCAACAUCGGAAGGGUACGUAUUACCCCCUAUAGUUAUGAGUACACGAGUGUCUAUUUGUAUAGAAUUACAUCUUCAAAAAAAAUAAAACACUAAACCUGA